rnacentral:rRNA from 1 species
AGCGCAGGUGGUUGUAUAAGUCUGAAGUAAAAGGCGGUGGCUCAACCAUUGUGUGCUUUGGAAACUGUACAACUUGAGUGCAGAAGGGGAGAGUGGAAUUCCAUGUGUAGCGGUGAAAUGCGUAGAUAUAUGGAGGAACACCGGUGGCGAAAGCGGCUCUCUGGUCUGUAACUGACACUGAGGCUCGAAAGCGUGGGAGCAAACA